CUUAUGGGGCCUGCUCCUAAACCCACUGAAGUCAAUGGGAGUCUUUCCAUUGACAUCAGUGGGCUUUGGGGUAGGCCCAUGCAUCAG
rnacentral:pre_miRNA from 1 species